UUUUUUAUAGUGUAAAAAACACAUUACAUUUUCAUUGUAAAGCUAGAAAUCUUUUUUUUCUUAAAAAUA
rnacentral:tRNA from 1 species